rnacentral:lncRNA from 1 species
GUUCAUUGGCUUUUAUUAAGCACUUCCAAUUUGCUCAGUGCUACAUACAUGAUAGGAGACAGUCACUGUUUAUUUUCAAGGUGCUUUCCAAAGACUGAAUAUUAAAGACAGCUUGAGCGAGGCUGGCCCUGUGCCAGGCUUUAAUAAGGCUACCACCCCUCUCCUCCUUCUUCCAGAUGGGGAAGAGGGGGCGGAUGACAUGUGCUGCUUGGGGACCUAUGAAGAGAGCGCAGAGACCGGGGGCAAGAGUUCGGUGGUUCAGGGCUCAGCUCCAAAUUCUUUCUUCUACUCCAGCUCGAAGACCUUGGGCAAGUAUUUAAGUUCUUUCAGCCUUAAGCUUCCACAUCUGUAAAAUAAGAGUAAGUUUUUAUUGCAACAGUUACUUCUACUUAUACCUCUCUUCUUUAGGACCUUGUGCUUGGGAUUCUGGAUCAGACACAAGUAAACUAAGUUGACUCAGUAAACAACUGGGAGAUUUCACUGACCUUAUUGUAUGUCUCAGAAGGUAGGUGAUAGACUGUGAUAGCUAUAGGCUCCCACAGAGUGGAAAACUUUCACAAGCCCUGUGUAGAUAUGUUCUUACGGAACAGAGCAAAGCCUCUAACUAAGCCUUCCUCCUCUACUCUUUGCCACUCUGUAAUAAUAGGCACCCUGUAAAUAAUUGUAACCAAAUGGAAAGUUACUCCUCCGAAUUUCUGGAGUGAAGUUCAACUUUGUGCUUUAGGACAGAUGGGUCUACAGUUACCUCAAUUUUUUCUAUCAGUAUGGCCAGAGGCAAUGGCACUGAGUUCCACCAGAUGGCCACAAUAUACUACAGGCAGAAACUUCUCAG